CGGGCGAGUAACGCGUGAGCAACCUGCCUUUCAGAGUGGAACAACGGCUGGAAACGGCCGCUAAUACCGCAUGACACAGCGAGGGCGCAUGUUUUUGCUGUCAAAGGAGCAAUCCGCUGAGAGAUGGGCUCGCGUCCGAUUAGCUAGUUGGCGGGGUAAAGGCCCACCAAGGCAACGAUCGGUAGCCGAACUGAGAGGUUGAUCGGCCGCAUUGGGACUGAGACACGGCCCAGACUCC
rnacentral:rRNA from 1 species